UGAGGAAUAUUUGUCAAUGGACGCAAGUCUGAACCAGCCAAGUAGCGUGCAGGAUGACGGCCCUAUGGGUUGUAAACUGCUUUUAUAUGGGGAUAAAGUGGGGAACGUGUUCCCUUUUGCAGGUACCAUAUGAAUAAGGACCGGCUAAUUCCGUGCCAGCAGCCGCGGUAAUACGGAAGGUUCGGGCGUUAUCCGGAUUUAUUGGGUUUAAAGGGAGCGUAGGCCGUUUGGUAAGCGUGUUGUGAAAUGUAGGAGCUCAACUUCUAGAUUGCAGCGCGAACUGUCAGACUUGAGUGCGCACAACGUAGGCGGAAUUCAUGGUGUAGCGGUGAAAUGCUUAGAUAUCAUGAAGAACUCCGAUUGCGAAGGCAGCUUACUGUAGCAUAACUGACGCUGAUGCUCGAAAGUGCGGGUAUCAAACAGG
rnacentral:rRNA from 1 species